rnacentral:rRNA from 1 species
UGGGGAAUAUUGCACAAUGGGCGCAAGCCUGAUGCAGCGACGCCGCGUGGGGGAUGAAGGCCUUCGGGUUGUAAACUCCUUUCAACCAUGACGAAGCGUAAGUGACGGUAGUGGUAGAAGAAGCACCGGCUAACUACGUGCCAGCAGCCGCGGUAAUACGUAGGGUGCGAGCGUUGUCCGGAAUUACUGGGCGUAAAGAGCUCGUAGGUGGUUUGUCGCGUCGUCUGUGAAAUUCCGGGGCUUAACUCCGGGCGUGCAGGCGAUACGGGCAUAACUUGAGUGCUGUAGGGGAGACUGGAAUUCCUGGUGUAGCGGUGAAAUGCGCAGAUAUCAGGAGGAACACCAAUGGCGAAGGCAGGUCUCUGGGCAGUAACUGACGCUGAGGAGCGAAAGCAUGGGUAGCGAACAGG